GAUGAACGCUAGCUCUAGGCUUAACACAUGCAAGUCUAGGGACCGGCGCACGGGUUAGUAACGCGUAUCCAACCUGCCCAUAACUAAGGGAUAACCCAGCGAAAGUUGGACUAAUACCUUAUGGUUAUGGAUGGGGAUGCUUCUGCUUAGUUUGUUGGCGGGGUAACGCCCCACCAAGGCAACGUUCCGUAGGGGUUCUGAGAGGAAGGUCCCCCACAUUGGAACGGAGGCACGGUCCAAACUCCUACGGGAGGCAGCAGUGAGGAAUAGUGGUGAAUGGACGCAAGUCUGAACCAGCCAAGUAGCGUGCAGGAUGACGGCCUAUGGGUUGUAAACUGCUUUUAUAUGGGGAUAGGUACCAUAUGAAUAAGGACCGGCUAAUUCCGUGCCAGCAGCCGCGGUAAUUC
rnacentral:rRNA from 1 species